rnacentral:rRNA from 1 species
CCUACGGGUGGCAGCAGUGGGGAAUUUUGGGCAAUGGGCGCAAGCCUGACCCAGCAACGCCGCGUGAAGGAAGAAGGCUUUCGGGUUGUAAACUUCUUUUAAGAGGGAAGAGCAGAAGACGGUACCUCUUGAAUAAGCCACGGCUAACUACCGGCCAGCAGCCGCGGCAAUAUGUAUGUGGCAAGCGUUGGCCGGAUUUACUGGGUGGAAAGGGCGUGCAGCCGGGAAGACAAGUCAGAUGUGAAAUCCCUCGGCUCAACCGCGGGACUGCAUUUGAAACUGUUUUUCUUGAGUGCAGGAGAGGAGAUCGGAAUUCCAUGUGUAGCGGUGAAAUGCGUAGAUAUAAGGAAGAACACCAGUGGCGAAGGCGGAUGACUGGAUGGCAACUGACGGUGAGGCGCGAAAGCGUGGGGAGCAAACAGGAUUAGAUACCCCUGUAGUC